rnacentral:tRNA from 1 species
UCCCUGGUGGCUCAGAGGGUAAAGCGUCUGCCUACAAUGCAGGAGACCUGGAUUCGAUCUCCGGGUCGGGAA